AUUGAACGCUGGCGGCAGGCCUAACACAUGCAAGUCGAGCGGAUGAAGGGAGCUUGCUCCUGGAUUCAGCGGCGGACGGGUGAGUAAUGCCUAGGAAUCUGCCUGGUAGUGGGGGAUAACGUCCGGAAACGGGCGCUAAUACCGCAUACGUCCUGAGGGAGAAAGUGGGGGAUCUUCGGACCUCACGCUAUCAGAUGAGCCUAGGUCGGAUUAGCUAGUUGGUGGGGUAAAGGCCUACCAAGGCGACGAUCCGUAACUGGUCUGAGAGGAUGAUCAGUCACACUGGAACUGAGACACGGUCCAGACUCCUACGGGAGGCAGCAGUGGGGAAUAUUGGACAAUGGGCGAAAGCCUGAUCCAGCCAUGCCGCGUGUGUGAAGAAGGUCUUCGGAUUGUAAAGCACUUUAAGUUGGGAGGAAGGACAGUAAGUUAAUACCUUGCUGCUUUGACGUUACCAACAGAAUAAGCACCGGCUAACUUCGUG
rnacentral:rRNA from 1 species